CGCCCGGCCGGGUGGAAUGCGCCGCGGGGCGGCCUUAAAGCGGCCGUGCCGGUGGGGCCCACCGCGGGUUGGGGCUGUGCGACGUGGGUGUUUGGGGGCUUUUCGUGGGAAGCCGGCGGGGGCAGAGCGAAAGCGUGCUGCGGGCGCGCGGUUCUGCGGUCUUUGGUGUUUGCUGUGCGUAUCUAAUCCAUGCUCCUGCCUGCAGUUUGCUGCGCACCUUUAUGGCGCUCCAGCAGCGGUGCGGUCACGCUUCAUUCAUUAAGCUUGCACUCGUCUAAAACGCACAAGCCGUGCUUUGCUUUCAGUGCCCUACGUGACAGAACACCCGAGCCCAUCAAAGCGCUUCAGCGUCCUCCCCGCCAUCCCCUUUCCUUCGCACCACGGUUGGAAAACCCCCUCGUCUUAACGAAACGAGGCCGAUAAGACGCUUCGCAGGGGCAGCGUGCCUCCCCGGGGUGCGUGCGGCGGCGGGAGGUGGAGCGGGGCCCGCCCCGCCGUGACCCCGCAGCGCACCGCCUUCCGCAGGGCCCAGCGCUGCCCUCGGCCGACACCGUCCAAACAACGGUAAUCACAGCAGACAGCCGCUCCCCGUCCACCAAAGAAGCGCGAACACCUAAAAGCAAGCAAGCGAGGCGGCAGAUGCGCCGAAUAAACGUUCAGAUGGGUGGGGGACACAGUUCAGGAGCUUUCUCCAGCAGUGCAUCAGCAAGCGCGGAAACAAGCUGCGCUAAGCGCUUUCAUCAUGUGAAGAUAAAAGCCAGGCUUCAGGCGUCCUUGCUUCUCUGUCUUGGUUGGAGUCUUUAUUUCACAAAGGUGGAUCAAACGUUCUGGCCCAGCACCCCGGCUGGGGUCAUCCGUGUCGUUCCACUGCAGCACGUGGGCUGCUUCCAGUUUUAAUCAGUUCUCAGCCAUCCCAUCUUAACGGCGUUGGCAGACACGGGGUGAUUCCUAUCCCAUUCCCACCAGCCCAGCGCCACUUUGGCCAUGGGAGUGAUAGCAGCGCUUUAUUUCUGCGGGUGGGCAUGGCUGAAACGGGAGAGAAAAGUGGUAGAAGAGCCAAAGCGCCUCACGUUUUAUUUCUGUGGGGAUGGCACAGACUGGUAAUGCCACAAGUGGAACUUAGAAUUAAUGCCAAAAGGGCACAAGCAACACCAUUCUAUAUGCAGUUAUGGUUUAAAGCCAUCCUGCGUCCUGUGAAUUAUUUUGGUGAAUGGCUGAGGUUUCAGCCCAACCUUUGUCCAAAAGCAAUAGUCAAGAAUACAGCAGACAACUGUGCUAUUUCUAUCUUAGGGAAGCAGAGUCACAAUGACCUGAUGAAUAAAACCAAAAUAGAAAACUGAUAGCUAUGAAAGCAGGAGGAGCUUCAGAAAAAGCUUUCUUUAAGUCUGACUUUCCAGUCACUCUUUCCCUGAUCAUCCCAAUUAAUCCUGUGCGGCAGCUACAAGAAGGUGAGUUACUACAUCUCUGAGCGUGCUUACGGGAAGUAAUUUGCUUCUUACAGGUCUCUGCAAAGCCAGGGGAAGCAGAGAUGUGGGCAGAUUUUGUUCUCUCUUUUCUGGAGUGGCCCUGCGAUGUAUCCUCUCAUUCUUAAGACAGCAACAUGGCAAAGAAAUGUGGCAACAUGAAAAGCCUGAAACACGAAGGGACCAUGCAGCUUUUCCUCUUCAAACACAGCCCAUCCUUUUGCUUAAUGGGUGUCCGCUGGAGUGUGGGAACUGAUCAGCAAUCUCUGUUUCCUAGCAGUCAAGAGGAGAUCCACCAAAGACCCAGGAGGCCUGGUCUGGUGGGAAAGAGGAUACAGCGUGUGGAGGCUGGAGGCUGGAGCAGGGCUGUGUUUACCCUCCCAAAUCUUCAGCUAAAGAGGGCAAGUCACCUUUCUUGGGAGUGCUAAGUCUUGCAGUCUUGCAAUCCAUAGAGGAAUUGUGCACGACCAUUCUCAGGUCUGCAAGAUUGUUCUCUGGUAGUUGUCAUCCAUUGCUAUCAAAAGGCUGGAAGUCACACUGGUUUUUCAGGGACAAUGAGUUAAUUCUGAUCCAUAAAGCAGAGUGUUGGAACCUCAUGAGAGAACGAGUUGUAAAAUGCAUUUUCUGCCCACGUUUUCAUCUCAGUUCAGCAUGGAAAUGUCAGAUAGACAUGGUCAGUUGUUCAGAAAAACGCAGUGAUUGCAAAGAGAUGGUUCAUUCUCUACCCCGUGUCCUCUUGUUAGGUCUUUACAUAGGAAAUUUGUACUCCCUUCAACUGUUAUUAAUGUCUUUCAUUUUGGAGCUCAAUAAAAUUAUUACAUCAGAGCAUUUAAUUCAAUUAAAAGUACUUAAGUAGAUCGACUACAAUGUUUAUCUAAUAAUUCCUUUCAGGUGUGUUAAUUACCCUCAGCUAUUAGCAAGUCAUUUUAAAAUCGUUGCAAGAAGUUAAAAUCAAGCUUUAUCAUGUAUAUAUAUUAAAAAAUGAAUUAUAAUUGUGAUGGGGAGAAGGCACAGAGGACAGGCUACAAGUUUAUGUGAUGAUAAUGCCAGUCUCUCCUGCUCCGGUCUUCUGGCAAAGUUUCAUCCCAGAUUCCUGUUGGUUAAAGACUGUUCAAUUUCCAUUAGCAUUGAAACAACAUUUUAGAUUGAGAUACCAGCACGUGCUUCUUAAAAGUUAUUUUCUGUAUUGUUUUAAAUCACAGAAUGCUCCAAAAAAUAGCGCCCCGUUGUCGCUCCCCAGUGUUGUUUUAACCUGGAAUGUACUUUUUUGUUGGCCCGCUUUUUGGCUUUGAGUCGUUCUCAAAAUACGUUUCACACUUCCUUUCAACCACGGCCCUGUGGCAACCAAGGCUCUGCCACCCGAACUGCUGAACUUCAAAGGUUAAGCAAACAAAACGCUCCAGAACAUAAACAUCUUGAUGUCGUGAUACAUACCUAACAUACCGUUUUCAUCAGCGCUUCAGUGCAGCGCUCCAAGCUCAAAAAUCGUGUCUGACAUUUUAUACGUGGUUGUUCACUUCUGCAGUUUCACAUAUUUUAAGCCAUGACGUGUCCCUGGAUAUGCAUGUUAGGAGGGAAGCGCACCUCGUGGAAUGUUGCUGAUUUAUCAGGCACCGCCAGACAACACUUUGAUGAAUUCUGUACACUUGUUUGAGGGAUGUGGUUUAAUGGGAAAUGCUGGUGGUAGGUGGAUGGUUGGACUGGAUGCUCUUGGAGGCCUUUUCCAGCCUUGGUGACUCCAUGAUUCUACAAUCCCUCCGUGGGUCUCCCAGUUCACUUAAGCAAAUAUAAAUCUAAUUCCCCACGCAGUACCCAAAAGCGCAGUAAGCUUCCGCAUAAUGACCGAGAGUUCUUUUUAGCUUGUGCUAAUUUGAGACAAUAAUUAAAGAUGUUUUGGCUUGCUUUUCUUGCCCUGCCUGGAUCUCAGACUGUCAGUUGCAGAGGACCAAGCUGCAGAAUACCCAGCUUUCUACCACUGAGGCUUGAAAGCUUUUGCUAGUAUUCAUCUCCAAUACAGGAGCCCCCGGUUUUAACAAAUUCCAUCUUUCAGGACAAGGGGAAAUAACAGCUGGGAAUUCUGCAGCUUGGUCCUGAUUCAGUCACUGGGAGCUUCAUGGCCAAGUCUCAGCAUACCAACAUCUGGAUUUGCAAACAAAGAAAAAAGAGUGAGGACCGCUGCACAAAGAGAUGGCAGAUAACUUCGUUAGUCCCCUCAAGUGUACAACAGACACUAACACAGCAUUUUUCUCAUACUGAUCCCCAGUACUCACUGUCAAAUUUCCUUCCAGGUCACUGUUGGGACAGCAGAUGUUCUCCCAGUGUGUUGUUCUCCUCACAUCGUGCAGUCGGGGUUGCCAAUUUAUUCAGGUUCCAGCGUACAAGUAGGACUUAACUCAAUGAAGCAAUUGUUCGUCCCGAUGCAAUAUGACGAAUGAUGAUUUCGCAAGUUUCUCUUGAAUUCCUGCUUCGGGCAAGCUAAAAUGUGAGCGGGUGAGGAGAAGACCUGGUGGCCUCAGGGACCAGGUUGGAUGGGGCCCUGGGCAACCUGGGCUAGUACUUGAUCUGGUGGUUGGCAGCCCUGCCUGUGGCAGGGGGUUGGAACUUGGUGAUCCUUGGAGUCCUUUCCAAACCAAGCCAUCCUAUGAUUCCAUGAUAAGCUAACUGAUGUGACUGACAGCAACAUACAAAUUCAGUGUUCUUUGGUAGAUAGGAUUUCUUCCGAGACACAUGGGACAAUUUUGCCAUAUUUUUGACAUAUUUCAAAGAAAGUGUGGUGCUUACUCUCACUGUGCUGUUUGGAACUGGACAGCAAGGUUCCCAGUCCUCACGAGAAGGACAGGGAGCCAGUAGUCUGUCUGUCUGCCGUCUAUAGUGUCAUGACAGCUCUUUCAAGCACGUCAUCCUUUCUGUAGCUGUACAUCACUUUUCACAUUUUACAUAUUUUUCACAUUCCCUGAAGCUCUAGUAUCUUAAAAUCUGCAGUAAAUGACUGGAAGAAUGGUUGCCAGGAGUGUGCUUGUCAGGUAUGCGCAGUCCCAGAGCAGCCAGGAGGCAGACUUCAGUUACAAAGGUUUAAUUACAUCUUCAGUUGGGAGUAACUUCUCUGGCCAUCUUGUGUGUCCAUGAUGUUAUCCAUGAUGAUAUCUGCUUCAAUGAUCCAUGAUAACUCAUGGUAGAAUACAUAGGUAAGUUACCUAGCUCACGUAUUUAAUAUAGCAGAAUUUCACCAUGGCCUCUCUCUGUGAAGGAAGCUAUCUUUCUAUGGGAUAAGAUGAGCAUUACUAACCAAAGUAUGUUGUGAGUAGAGAUUGUUUUUUUCUUACUUAGAAAGAAAACGAGCACUCUCUUUUAAGAUUUAUGUAAACACUUUCAGCUGAAGUUUAAGUUCUUGGCCUUCUCCUGGAUAAGUUAACUAGGCUGCAGGGUUCUCAUUAGCCCUACUUUUGGCUGCAGAUAUUUUGUGACCGCUUCAAGACAUCUCCAAAUUUUUAAUGCUAUAAGAAUACUGGAUGUGACAAUUGGGCGUAUUUUAGAAGUCAUCUUUCUACUACUGUAUGCAGAAGUGAUAUAAGUGUCUUUAUACGUGUACAUCUUGUCAGCCAACAUGUGUUCAAAUCUUGCUUAUUUAUGGGGAUUUUUAAGCCCUCCCCAGGGCCAGCUUUCUACACAACCAGCUGUGCAGCACUGGUUUUCCUAAACCUACUUUUUUUGACCAAAAUCAUUUACUAGGAAGAUGUUGAGGAAAAAUAAUAAAUAAUUUUUUAAAAUACCAACAACUGUAUCUAUAUUUAAGUCUACAGUAACUCCUCUUUCUUCCAUUUGUUUUAUAGAGCAUCCAUUCAGAGUUUAAGGUCACCUUGAUAGAGAAUGAACCUGGAAAGCUUUGGUGUGAAAACUGGAGGCUCAUGAAAACUGGAAGCAACUCAGACUAAGAACUGCUCGGUAACAGCUCGGAGGAAUGGGGCCAUUGCAUAGCUUCACUGGAAGACAAUUCUGGCAAAGGACUGGAUGAUGCUGGGUUGAAUUGCCAAGGCUCUGGAACUUGUGAAGUAUGCAACAUCUUUUGCACCGUGUUAUCAUUCACAGAUGGAGCUGAGGAACUGUACCCAUGACAGAACUAUUGGGAAGCUUGCUUUGUUUUGGUAAUCACACGCAAAAAAACUUCAAUCUAAAGUGCAGAGAAACUGAAAAUGUAUUUUGAGUAAAUCCGUAUCUCAUUGCUAGGAAGCUUCUCUGGCCUAUGAGCUGAUGUAAAAACUACAAACUUUAAAAUUCUUGUCAAGCAGAUGUAAUCUGGAAGACUACAAGGUAAAACUGCUUUUCUAAGUUUCAAAAAUAGUUUUGGACUUUGUCAUGAGUUGGGGAAGAAAGAGUAAUCUUAAUAUCCAACUCUUCAGGCUUUGAAAGCAUGAAAAUACUUUCACUCUUAUCUGUCUGCUUCAUUUCUCAUGCCUCGCUCUUUGAAUAAAGAUUACAAAAUGCCAGCCUGUAAUUUGUAAGAAUACUGUUCUCAUAAUGACUUGACUUUGUUUUUCUAACCUUAUGUAUCAUAACUUACUUCACAAAUCACAAAG